AGUGAACGCUGGCGGUAGGCCUAACACAUGCAAGUCGAACGGCAGCACAGUAAGAGCUUGCUCUUACGGGUGGCGAGUGGCGGACGGGUGAGGAAUACAUCGGAAUCUACUCUUUCGUGGGGGAUAACGUAGGGAAACUUACGCUAAUACCGCAUACGACCUACGGGUGAAAGCAGGGGAUCUUCGGACCUUGCGCGAUUGAAUGAGCCGAUGUGGGAUUAGCUAGUUGGCGGGGUAAAGGCCCACCAAGUCGACGAUCCGUAGCUGGUCUGAGAGGAUGGUCGGCGACACUAGAAGUGAGACGCGGUCCAGGGUCCUACGGGAGGCAGCAGUGGGGAAUAUUGGACAAUGGGCGCAAGCCUGGUCCAGCCAUACCGCGUGGGUGAAGAAGGCCUUCGGGUUGUGAAGCCCUUUUGUUGGGAAAGAAAAGCAGCAGGUUAAUACCCCGCUGUUCUGACGGUACCCAAAGAAGAAGCACCGGCUAACUUCGUG
rnacentral:rRNA from 1 species